rnacentral:rRNA from 1 species
AAAUUGAAGAGUUUGAUCAUGGCUCAGAUUGAACGCUGGCGGCAGGCCUAACACAUGCAAGUCGAACGGUAGCACAGAGAGCUUGCUCUCGGGUGACGAGUGGCGGACGGGUGAGUAAUGUCUGGGAAACUGCCUGAUGGAGGGGGAUAACUACUGGAAACGGUGGCUAAUACCGCAUAACGUCGCAAGACCAAAGAGGGGGACCUUCGGGCCUCUUGCCAUCAGAUGUGCCCAGAUGGGAUUAGCUAGUUGGUGAGGUAACGGCUCACCAAGGCGACGAUCCCUAGCUGGUCUGAGAGGAUGACCAGCCACACUGGAACUGAGACACGGUCCAGACUCCUACGGGAGGCAGCAGUGGGGAAUAUUGCACAAUGGGCGCAAGCCUGAUGCAGCCAUGCCGCGUGUAUGAAGAAGGCCUUCGGGUUGUAAAGUACUUUCAGCGGGGAGGAAGGUGUUGUGGUUAAUAACCGCAGCAAUUGACGUUACCCGCAGAAGAAGCACCGGCUAACUCCGUGCCAGCAGCCGCGGUAAUACGGAGGGUGCAAGCGUUAAUCGGAAUUACUGGGCGUAAAGCGCACGCAGGCGGUCUGUCAAGUCGGAUGUGAAAUCCCCGGGCUCAACCUGGGAACUGCAUUCGAAACUGGCAGGCUUGAGUCUUGUAGAGGGGGGUAGAAUUCCAGGUGUAGCGGUGAAAUGCGUAGAGAUCUGGAGGAAUACCGGUGGCGAAGGCGGCCCCCUGGACAAAGACUGACGCUCAGGUGCGAAAGCGUGGGGAGCAAACAGGAUUAGAUACCCUGGUAGUCCACGCCGUAAACGAUGUCUACUUGGAGGUUGUGCCCUUGAGGCGUGGCUUCCGGAGCUAACGCGUUAAGUAGACCGCCUGGGGAGUACGGCCGCAAGGUUAAAACUCAAAUGAAUUGACGGGGGCCCGCACAAGCGGUGGAGCAUGUGGUUUAAUUCGAUGCAACGCGAAGAACCUUACCUGGUCUUGACAUCCACGGAAGUUUUCAGAGAUGAGAAUGUGCCUUCGGGAACCGUGAGACAGGUGCUGCAUGGCUGUCGUCAGCUCGUGUUGUGAAAUGUUGGGUUAAGUCCCGCAACGAGCGCAACCCUUAUCCUUUGUUGCCAGCGAUUAGGUCGGGAACUC